AAACCCUAAUCAACAUCUGCCAAAACCCGCAGCCGUCUCCCUCCCCACCAUGUUCCCUCUCAAUCACUCCCAAACCCUAUCCACCACAACCCUAUCGAUUCUCCUUUUCCAUCACUACCAAAUCCUAUCUGCCGCGGCCGCCGGCACCUUGUCUGUCUCAGCCGCCUGCAACUCAUUCUGAUGGUACAUAUCAAAACACCACCAACGUUUUCCAUUUAAUGAUCUUCCGGUUCAAGGAUAUGGAUAUGGGUCAGUUGGCUGGAAAUAUUAGUGGAUUUCUUUUCACAUUCUCCAAUAUUACUCGCUUCUUGGGAGGGAUAUCAACAGUCACAUGCCUUCAACGACUUAAAAAGGCAUUUUUGGUUUGAAUCAUUUAACUACACGUAUGCAUAUUUAUUAGGUUAAAUGUGUCCUUUAUUUGCUUCGGUUGACCACACUAAUGUAAACUUACAAGAUGUGAUAAAUUGGCUUGUGUCGUGUUAGGAAGGAAUAAGUAUGUUUGCUUUGAGUGAUCAUAUUUAUUGUUUGAGAAUGUUAAAAAGUUUAGGUUUUAAUUUUCCAAUUUAUCAACUAUUAGACACAGGUACAUAGAGUAACAAGCCAUCCACAUUAUUAAGAUAUAAUUUAAUUAAAACUGACCACAAGGAUGAGGUCACGACUUCACAUCUGAAAGCACAUUCUAAAUGCAUCAUGUUUAAGUAUAUCUAUAAAUAUAAGUUCGCAUUAGAGUGAAUCUACAUCACUUUUGAAUCAUGUUCUUAAAUCACAUUAUUGUCAAAUGUAUCUUUUGUUGUAUCAGAGUUAUGUAGUUUAUUUUUAUAUUGUUGUAGGGUAGUUUACUAUAAAUCUAUUAACAUGAUUUGAGUAUUCUUACUAUUUCUUAAAUUUAAAUGUAGUUAAAUGGCUAUAACAAACAUAUCCAUGCUAAAUCAUGAACUUAGUGUUCAAAACGACGAUUCUACUAUAAAAGUCCCUAUCGUCAAAACUGUGGAGACAACAAGUCUUCUCUAACCCGAUUGCAACACCUCAUUUUAUGGGGUUGUUUUAAUUGAUGAGUAGGUAA